CUAAAGUUUGUUUUGUAUUUGGUGAACUUCAGCAUUCUUAGAGCUUAAGUUCUAAACAACAAUAAACUUAAUAAAUCAUGAUCAGCAGCGAUUGAUGCUGUUCAUUUCAAAGAUUAAAGAAUGAAAAAUAUUUUCGACAUGAAAACAAGUUACUACAGAUAAAUUAGAACCAAAAACCAAUGUGCCUGUAAAGCUAAAAUAUCUAAGAGGUUAAAUUAUUGUGAAUAAGACCAAACUGAACAUAAUGGAACAAGCAGAUAUAUAUAAAUCAUCAGGUUAGAACGCAUAACAAUAUCUCAAGCUUCAGCAUUCAGAAAACGAAGGAGGAGAAUGGGAGGAGAAAGAGGACUGAAGUUGUUUAAACAGUGGGUACAAGUUAAAAACUUUUUUAAAAGGUGGGUAUAGGUUAAAUGGGGGCGACCAAAUAAGGCGUCCCGUGCAAUUUUUACGCUCAGAUCAGAACCCUUUAUAGGUUACUUUGGGUGAAAAUGGGCUUUCACUACUAAAAAAAUCAGGUUUUAGCGACGGACAAAUUCUGUAGCUAAACAGAAAAAUUCAUCGCUAAUCUCAUUUAACGACGGAUUAUCAAAAGAUUUUGCUAGCUACGAGCGUUUUAGCGAUAGAUUAGCGACGACGUUCGUAGCUAAUUCCAGUUUUUUUGUAGUGUUUGGAUUGAAGUCCAAAUCGCCUUUUAAAGCUUUUGCACAGUCAGGCCAUGUUAUGUAAAAAUUGCACGGGGCACCCUAUUUGGUCACCCCCAUUUGACCUAUACCCAUAUUUUUAAAAUUAUUUAACCUAUACCCUAAUUUUGACAACUUCAGAUCCUACGACAUAUGCGCUCCUUUCUUCCUCCUCUUCUUUUCCUCUUCUUCUUAUUUUCUCUCUCAAACGUGCUAUCAUGUAAGUUACACAUGUUAUCGUUUCUGGAAAUUGGACAAAGCGACAAAUCACGAAGAAAGAAAGACUCGCCACUCCCUCUCAAACAUUAAUACAUCUGAAUACAAAGUACGUAAAUAAUAAAACAAGAGUUUAUAUUCAAAACUCGAAGAAGCAUCAACUGAAGUUUGGGACUGCAGGGCCAAACUUCAAACAUUACCAGGUUAAAUUUCGUCUGAAGUUUGCAACUAUCAUGCCAGGAAAAAUUAUCUGAAGUUCAAAUAUAACAAGUUAAUUUUGUCUAAAGUUUGCAUUACAAAUUAGUAUGAAGUUUGCACUACAAACUAAAGAACUUCAGACUAAUUUAUCUGAAGUUUGCACUACAAACUGAAGAACUUCAGACUAAUUUGUCUGAAGUUUGCAUUAUGAAAUGAAGUUUUUUUGAUUGCUUUUGCAAAUUAGGCCAAACUUCAGAUGAAAGUAUCUGAAGUUUACUUUGAUAAGGUCAUACUUCAGGCAAAAAAAUUUGAAGUUCAAACUUCAGACAUAAAUCGUUGCUACUUAAAGCCCUGUAUGUCUGAAGUUACCCGAAAAGUAAGUAGGCUUGCAAUUUUUUUUCCAAACAGAUAUAAGUAAAAUUGUGACCUAAAAAUUGUAUAUAGAUGCAAAUCCCCCCAUGUUAUGAGCCUUUUAAAACUUCCGCACAAUCAGACCAAGUUAUGAGCCUUUAAAUGGGCUAACUUAUUGGUUGGCUUAUUGAUGUAUAGUUAGGCGCAUUUGUAUCUAUACUCAUUUUUUGGGUCACAUUUUAACUUGUGCCCGCUUUGCAAAAAAAAUUGUAAGUGUACCCACUUUUUCGCGUAACUUCAGCAUACGAGGCUGAAGUAGCAAAGAUAAUCACGAAAAACUUCAGUAUUCUAGUAGACGGGACUGAAGUAGCAAGUUUUUGUUUUUGUAACUGACGAACUUCAGCUCUAGAGCUGAAGUUUUUGUUUUGUAACUGGCAAACUUCAGCUCUAGAGCUGAAGUUUUUGUUUUGUAACUUGCGAACUUCAGUUCUAGAGCAGAAGUUUUUAUUUUUGUAACUGGCGAACUCUCUAGAGCUGAAGUUUUUAUUUUGUGGCAGGAACAACUUCAGCUCUGAAGUUGUUUCUGCCUAGAUAUAGCUUUUUCACACUGAUUAUUGGAUAAUUUUUUAGUAGUGUGUUCCUAAAUGGAAAGGCUUUUGGCUAUUAUCAUAAUGAUUCUUGCUCUCCUUAACAAAACUUGAAUAGCUAUAGUCUAAUACACCUUGCAUUUUACCUUUAUUUACUUUUCGGUUUGUGUCCCCCUUAACUUCUUGUAAAAUGUUAUCACAACGAUUAUUAUCCUCCUUCAACAAAGCUUGCAUAUUUUUACAUUUAUAAAAUUCAAUCAUCAAUAGGUCUUACAUCUUACCAUAAUGAUCAGCAGCAAGAAGAGAGGAGCAUCGCCAUCAGGAAAGUAAAUCUGUUGAAGGGAUUCCGGCAGAUUGAAGCUACUCGUCCCUUUGAAAAGUUGCAAGUUAGAGUCACCUUCUUCUCCAGCACACAAUCUGUGCAGUGUUUAAAGAGGUUGAGGGCGGAUAUAACUUUGAGGAGGAGAAGGAGGAGGAGAAAAGGGGCUAAAGUUGUUUAAAAAAUGAGUACAAGUUUAAACUUUUAAAAAAAAGUGGAUAUAAGUUAAAUGGGGGCGACCAAAUAGGGCACCCCGUGCAAUUUUUACGUGAAGGCAAGCAACUAUAGAUUCAAAAAUUAGACAUGUAAUUACACAAACUGACAAACUUAAUCAUAAUAACAACUGAGAACUUUAAAUUUGUUUCAAUGUAAAUUUAAGGGAAACUACCAGCUAUGUCCAUUUAUAAGUAACUCAUUACAAAAAUUGAUUAAUUCAUAAAAUAUUACUAAUAUUAGCCAAUUAACUAUUUGUAGCAAAAAAUAUCAAAUUUUUGCUUUCUUUUGAAUGAGUGCUAUUAGAAUAGAUUGUGUACAUCUUAAGGAGCUUGAAUCUCAGUUUUUAGAUGAUUUGGUGAAGUUUUGAGGUGAUUUGAAUUGAAAAUUCGAAGUAAAAACUGAAUAUGAAAAAAAAUGAUAUGUGUAUCACACUGUAUAUCAUUUAUGUAUCACACAUGUGUCAUAUUUGUAUCAAUUGUGUAUCACAUGUAUAUCCACGUAUACUUGUGUGUGAGAUACAUGCAUGAUACAUGUUUGAUACAUAUGUCGCAGAAGAAUUUUUUAAACUUGAUUUAACUACGAAUUUUGAUACAAAACCAGUCCAAAUUACCUCCAACCUUCCUCAAAUUUUGUUUAUUGACUUAUCCAUAUGUUUUCAAUGAAUUGCAACUAUACCCAUUGAAAAAGUUCCUUUUUUUGCUUAGAUUUUUGGAAUAUUAUAUUUUUUUUUUUUUGGUAUUUCAUCACCUUAUUCACUACCUCAUCCAUAAAAUUUCCUUUCCGUCUUGCAUCUAAUGUUGCUAAUCAUGCUUAAAAACAUGGAAGGUGAUUUUUGCAUGUGAUUCUUUGAGAGAAAGAACCUUAUUUAUUUAGUUUUUCAAUUUUUAUAUGUGUUUGGCUAGUUUUAGUAAGUUUAUGACUAAUGACUAGAGGUUAAUAAGUUGAGACUUAUUUGAAACAUUUGUGUAAGUUUCCCUAAAUUUAAUACUAUCAUAAUGACUAUCCUUAACAAAUACAGUCUCGAACGCUAGAAAAUUUUUUUAAAAAAACAUGCGUUUUGCUUUUAGAUUCAUCCAUCAUUGCUUGCAGAAAUGCAUGAUUAUUUUUAAACUCAAUUCAACAUUGCCUGGAAUUUUCAAUCAACAAAUUUGAGCUACUGGUGAUCAAAAUCAUGGAUUAAGCAUUUCUAAACUUCAAAAAAUACCUCGCAAGCCAUGAUCAGGUUAUUAUUCAACUGAAAAAACACUAAAGGAAUCCUAGGUCAAGUGACAAUAAAUUCAGUUCUAGUACAAGAGAUUCACACAAUUAGCUAUCAAUUUGAUUGAACUGUAAAUCAGCAAAUAUAAUUCUCCGUGUAACCAGCAAUUUCAAAUUAAGUGAUAGCUUAUACGAGCAGUUUAACAGCUGUGAUGAUCCGAUAGGUUAUUUAUAGUUUUAACCCUUUAUUCUCUCUUUUGAAACCUUGAAUAGCUACGUUUAGCCUUUCUCGAUUGUCACACCUCUUUUUUACCAAACUUCACUAUACCCUCUUAAAUAAAUAAAUAAAUAAAAUUUAGCAAAGCUCGAAAGGGUUUUUCAAUCUUGAAAGUGACAAAGGAUAGUGUUCAAAAGGAAAUAACUCAGAAUCGCCACCUAGCAUUAUUUUUUUGGUGUGCCAGGUCACCAUUUUUUAGAAAAUAUUUUUCCUUUUAAAAACACUUGGACUCAAAACUAAGUCUGCACCAGAGAUUCGGGUAAGGGGGUUCAUUUGACUCGGGGAGAAGGUGUUAAGCACCCCCCAGGUCCCGUGAAGGUCACGGUUGCGCACUCGAUCUAGUUGGCUUUUAGAAUAUUCAAGUUGGUGUAAAAAUAACACAGAAAAGAAAAAAAAAUAAACACACAAAAGGCUCGAGGUCGUCCCUACCUAAUAAAAGAAAAUGAAAAGGAAAAGGAAAGAAAAGUCCUAAGCUAACCUAUACUACGACUUCUCCACCAUGCUCAUCAAGGCCUCCAAAAUAUUUACAUAGUUCUUCACGGUAUACCCCGGAUAAUAAUAUUUACAAACUUCAUGGGGCAUUCCCCGGAUAAAUUUAAUUAAGGAACAACCUCUCACCUUAAAACUAACAAAUAUUCUAAGGCUUGCCUACCCAAAUGUGGUCAGCCUAAGCAUGCUCCUAGCGAGUACUAACAUCGAUAAAGAAGAUAAAAGGAACUAUAAAAGAACUAAGUAAAGGAACACAUCAACUCAUGCCCAUGUCUUGUUUUUUAACUUUUAUUUUUAUUAGACCGGGCCCGACGCCAAAAGCAUGGAGACAAAUCAAUUGCUAAUGGGCAUCGGUCUUUUCCCACUCCCCCGCGACCCAACAAUCAUACAAAAUGCCAAUCAAGUAAGGGAGAACGAAUUCCAAAUCACACAAGGAAAAGAGCAUAUGGAAUGACAACGAAAUAAAGGCAUGGUGGAUUAAAAUAUUAUAAGGGACAUAUAAAUCUAGCCAACCCGCCUCACUUUUUCACUUUUCUGUAUGUUGUUAUAUCACAACAUGAAUGAGCAGUGGCUUAAACAUUCAAGUUGGUCACCUUAGAGUUAGAAAACAAAGACAUCCUUAACCAAAUAGUAACGACAGAUGUUGCAGGAAUACUAAGUGAUGCUCACACCAAACAAUAUGUCAUUUUCAUAAUUAACUUAACAUUUUCGAACCAAGCAGGGUGCAAACCAAUCUUAGAAGCCUUUAACAAAAAUGUCUUGAACCUAACCAUGUGGAUAUUGUGAGAUUAACAGAAGCAUACAAGCCAAAAAAACAUGUCAAUUCGGUCACUGUUAGUUCAAACUUCCAUGCUUAACUUCACAAGGAUUAACGUUUUCCUUUAUCACUUAAGCGCAGGGAGAUCAAGGCACACAAACAGAACAUCAAUUUCAGUUCUUAAUGUGCAAUCAAGUUAGCAAAUGCCAUAACUCCCAUUCAGAUGUAACAAUCAGUCAAGCCCAAAACUAUCAUAAAUUCGAUCUGUUUACCCGUAACGAAGUAGUUCAAAAACUCAAUUGAAGAUCAGAUUUGAAAAUGUGGAAAAGAUAGCGAUGAGAACACAUAUUAAACUCAUGCACAAGCUGAACAAUCCACCAGAAAGCAAUUAAAUCAAAAACAACCAGCCACAAUCACUACGAAUCCAUAUUAAUAAUUUCUGAGGAUCGAUUCAAAAUAAGAAAGUCAAGGCGAAUAGGGAAUGAACCUGUUGGGGCGAAUUUUUCUUAAAUAACAGCAGGAGAUUCAGUGAUAAUUCAACUUCAAUUUCCAGAAUUCAAACGAGAUACAACUUCAAAAUUGGAAAGAAACCUCGAACAAGAACUCGAAACGGCACUGGAAUUUCGAAUCCGAACACGAACUCCAACUCGUACUUCAAUCCAUUUGUAUGUUGUAGUCGAGAUUGAAAUCGAGGGAAGCAGCAGAAAUUUUCUUUUUUUCUUUUCUUAAUAUGUAUGAAAACGAAAACGGAAAUCCAAAGAAGAAUCUGGAAGUCCCAAAAUUAAACCCUAGAACCCUUUCCUUCCGAUUUUUCUCUAAAUUUUUCCCCUAUCUUUUCUGUUCACCCCCCAAAAUCUGAGAAACCACCCCAAUAUAUAGGGGGUCUCGAACCAUCUAUGCUUCCUCGCCAAGAAAUCGAUUUUUAUCUCCAAAUCCGAAAAAAGAACUCCAAAAUUCCGAAAAUCUCCUUAUUUUCGGUAAAAAUCUGGGCAGAUGGAGGGUAUGAUUAAUUUUCAUUAAUCAUAUCCUACCCUUCGUCCAUCAUCUACUGUUGAAAGAGAUUCACAUGUUAGAAAACAUAUCAAAAACGCGGAUAAGAAAGAGUAAGGGAAUAUUCGAACCAAAAUCGGUUAUUUGUCAGGCCACAUGGAAGAAAGAGAGAAGGGAAAGGGGGACAAUGAAUUAACUCGCUAGAAUCAGUGAGUGUUCCGGCGAGUUUUGGGCGAGCGGAAGGUGGCAGAGAUGAGGGGCGCCGUUUUAGGUUGAUCUCUUUAGGAUUAGGGUUUGGGAAAUAUGGCUUUUAUAUGGUAAAGAAGAUAGAUAUGGACCAUUGGUUUUAUGAGAUGAAUGGCUAAGAUUUAGAGGGGGAAAUGGGGCGGGUAGAUGGGUCGUUUGGGCGGAUCCAAUAAUUAGAAACUUGAACUUUUCUUUUUUAGAAAUUAAUUCUAAUUAAUUAAAGAAAAAUAUAUCAUAAUAUAAAACUAUAUUUUUUAUAUAUCUUUUUUUAUAUAAAUUAUUAUAUUCAAAAAUAAAAGUGAAAAUUAUGGCAAAAACAAAAGUAUAUUUUGCUAUAAAAAUAUUAAUAACCUAAACUAAAUAGAAAUAAGAUAAAAUAUGAAACUAUUUUUUGUAUUUUUUUUCAAUGAUUAUAUUAAAAUAAAAGUAGGUUAAAAAAUAAUAUAUCUUUCCAAAAUACCUAAUAUUGAAUUAAAUAGAAAAGUGAAACUACUUCUUUUUUUAUAUUUUUCCCUUUUUUUGUGCCUUGAAAUAGAAUUAAAUUUAAAAAUAGAGUGAACUAAUAUAGGAACAAGCUCAAGUAAUAUUCAAAAAAUACUAGGACUAUUAAGGGUAAUUAUAAUGCACGGAUCAAAAAUUACAUGUCUACAGCUGCCCCUCUUUGACGGAAAACACAAAAUGUUUUCAGACAAAGAACAAUAAGACGUGUUUUUUAUCCGAUCCUUAUUUAGAGAGACAAAAACUAAAAGAAAAGAGAAUGUGACUGAGCCCUGGUAUCUGAGCUGCCUACAUAUCCUUGGUUAUAAAGGAAUCAUGCCACGUGUAUUUCACAAGUGAGAAGGAUGAUGGAGUACCGAGGUGGAGAGUCGAGUGAAGUGCCGUCGAGGUUCCGUUCCGCGGUUCCUGCCGUCGAAAUACAAGAUCCUAUCUACUUCUUGUCUUGAAUCUCUAUUUGAUCUUCAACAUGAGACUGAAAAGUGGACCCUAUUCUUUAGGCGGACUCCUGAUGCUUCUUGAACUUGCGAAUUGAAAGUAACUCUGAAAUGAAUUCACUUGUUCUCUAGGUGGGUGCCUGAUUGCCAAAACUUGACUUGAGAUGACUUCCAUCAUUCUCCAGGUGGGCGCCUGUUGCUUACUUGAAAAUCACAAUAAUUUUGAAAUGGAUUCUCUCGUUCUCCAGGUGGGCGCCUGCCGUUAAAGCUUGAAACUUGAUAUGGAUUCUCUCAUUCUCCAGGUGGGCGCCUGCGACCGACUUGAAACUUGAAAUGAAUUGUCUCAUUCUCCAGGUGGGUGCCUGCCAACGACUUGAACUCGAAAUAAAUUCCCUCAUUCUCCAGGUGUGCGCCUACCAUUGACUUAAAACUUGAAAUGACUUCCCUCGUUCUCCAGGUGGGCGCCUGAUUGCCAAAAACUUGAAUUGUAUUCUCUUGUUAUCCAGGUGGGUGCCUGAUUACCAAAAACUUGAAUUGUAUUCCCUCGUUAUAGAUGGGUGCCUGAUUACCAAAAACUUGAAUUGUGUUCCCUUGUUAUCCAGGUGGGCGCCUGAUUGCCAAAAACUUGAAUUGUGUUCCCUCGUUAUCCAGGUGGGUGCCUGAUUACCAACAACUUGAAUUAUAUUCCCUCAUUAUCCAUAUGGGUGCCUGAUUACCAAAAACUUGAAUUGUAUUUCCUUAUUAUCCAGUGGGCGCCUGAUUGCCAGAAACUUGAAUUGUGUUCCCUCGUUAUCCAGAUGGGUGCCUGAUUACCAACAACUUGAAUUGUAUUCCCUCGUUAUCCAGGUGGGUGCCUGAUUACCAACAACUUGAAUUGUAUUCCCUCGUUAUCCAGUUGGGCGCCUGAUUUCCAAAACUUGAAUUGUAUUCCCUCGUUAUCCAGGUGGGCGCCUGACAUUACAACAAAAUAGAAAAACAAAAGAAAUUUUUCUGCCCCAGUUUGG
rnacentral:lncRNA from 1 species